AUGAGAGUUCUAGAAUGUGUGUUCCUCCUGUCUCUCAUCUCAGCUGUUCAGGAGCAGUCACUCACCUCCUCUGAGCCAGUGGUGAAGAGACCUGGAGAAUCAGUAACACUGUCCUGUACUGUGUCUGGAAUCUCCAUGGGUAGCUACUGGAUGCACUGGAUCCAUCAGAAACCAUGGAAAGGACUUGAACAGGCUUCUGGGAAAGGAUUGGAGUGGAUAGCUUACAUUUAUGGUCCAAGUGGUAGCAGCAUCUACUACUCCCAGUCAGUUCAGGGUCAGUUCACCAUCUCCAGAGACAACAGCAAGCAGCAAGUGUAUCUCCAGAUGAACAGCCUGAAGACUGAAGACUCUGCUGUUUAUUAUUGUGCCAGAGACACAACCAUUCACUGUGACAACUACUUUGACUACUGGGGGAAAGGGACCAUGGUGACCGUGUCCACAGCCUCCCCAACUGCCCCGACCCUGUUCCCUCUGAUGCAAUGUGGCUCCGGGGCCGGAGAUAUGCUGACUCUAGGUUGUAUUGCCACCGGCUUUACGCCUGCCUCCCUCACCUUCAAAUGGAAGGACACCGACGAGAGUGCCUUGACUGACUUUGUCCAGUACCCGGUUGUCCAGACCGGUGAAAAGUACAUGGGAGUCAGUCAGCUCAUCGUAAAGAGAUCAGACUGGGAUGAGAAGAAGACUUUCAAAUGUGCCGUGGAACAUUCAGCUGGCUCAAAGGAAGUGAUAUUACAGAAACCAGUUGAGCCUCAGCCCGUCUCCCCGUCUUUUUAUGUAAUGACCCCCUCAAAAGAGGAGAUGCAAGACAAUCAAACAGCUUCCUUUGCCUGCUUAGCAAGGGACUUUUCACCCAAAGAUCAUGAUAUUACAUGGCUGAAGAACAAUAAGCCAAUAGCCAAGGGGGUGACAAACUUCUGUCAGGAUGAAAAGAAGGGAGAACAGAACACCUUGUACAGCGCAACCAGCUUCUUGAGCGUCGGCGAGACUGAGUGGACAGAUGGGUCAGAGUAUACCUGCCGCUUUGUCCACAAAUCUGGAAACCAGACCAAGACUGUGAAGUACUCCUCUGGUGCAGUAUGUGACACUCAUGUGGAAUUCCAAUUCAUUGAGCCAACUCCAGAAAACCUCUUCUUAGAUGAAAAGGUCCCCCUUGAGUGCAGGGUCACUUCAAAGCAAGCAGGCUUCCAGACCAUCAAAUGGAUGACCGAGGAUAAGAAAAUCCUCUAUCAAGAAUAUGACCAACGUGAGGGACGUUCAAUCACUGCCAAGAUUCUAAUCAGUUAUGAGGAGUGGCGUAAUGGGACAACAUUCAUCUGUAGUGUGGAGCACAAAGAUCUUCCAUCUCCAGAAGAGGAAUCAUACAGAAGGCAGAAUGAGUGUCUCGUUUUGACUGACUGUCCAUGCAGCAACACCAUGGAAACUGACAGGGACAGCAUGGGGAAAACAGCCUUCACCUUUAUCAUACUCUUCCUCAUCACUCUGCUGUAUGGCGUUGGAGCAACUGCCAUCAAGGUGAAAUGAAGAAACUGUGUUUGAAGUAUUUGAAAAACGUAUAACUUUUCAUACUUCCAUUUAUUUUAUCCAUACAUAUAUUGUAACUGUUUUCCUGCUUGUCUUCGUUGUUGCUUUGGUUUGAAUAGUUCAACUGUAGAGGUUAGAUUUGUAAAUAUUUCAUGGUGCCUUUUUACCCUAUUAAGAUAAUAAAAGUUGAACUGAAGUAAA